rnacentral:rRNA from 1 species
UACUGGGCGUAAAGGGCGCGUAGGCGGUUUGUUAAAGUCGAAGGUGAAAUCCUCGGGCUCAACUCGAGAAUGGCCUUCGAUACUGGCAAACUAGAGUGGCGGAGAGGAAAGCGGAACUCUUGGUGUAACGGUGGAAUGUGUAGAUAUCAAGAGGAACACCGGUGGCGAAGNCGGCUUUCUGGACGCACACUGACGCUCAGGCGCGAAAGCGUGGGUAGCAAACAGGAUUAGAUACCCUGGUAGUCCACGCCAUAAACGAUGGGUACUAGGUGUCGGGGGUAUCGACCCCUCCGGUGCCGCAGUUAACGCACUAAGUACCCCGCCUGGGGAUUAUGGUCGCAAGGCUGAAACUCAAAGGAAUUGACGGGGCCCCGCACAAGCGGUGGAGCAUGUGGUUUAAUUCGACGCAACGCGAAGAACCUUACCUGGGCUUGACAUGCUUGGGACAGCGCUGGAAACAGCGUCUCUCCUUCGGGAGCCCUUGCACAGGUGCUGCAUGGCUGUCGUCAGCUCGUGUCGUGAGAUGUUGGGUUAAGUCCCGCAACGAGCGCAACCCUCGUUACUAGUUGCCAUCAGUUCGGCUGGGCACUCUAGUGAGACUGCCGGUGAUAAACCGGAGGAAGGUGAGGAUGAUGUCAAGUCAUCAUGGCCCUUACGCCCAGGGCUACACACGUGCUACAAUGGUCGGCACAAAGGGUCGCUAAGCCGCGAGGUGGAGCUAAUCCCAAAAAGCCGGCCUCAGUUCGGAUUGGAGUCUGCAACCCGACUCCAUGAAGGCGGAAUCGCUAGUAAUCGCGGAUCAGCAUGCCGCGGUGAAUAUGUUCCCNGGGGCUUGUACACACCGCCCGUCAUAUCACCCGAGUCGGGAUACCCGAAGUCCGUGACCCAACCAUUUGGAGGGAGCGGCCGA